CCACCUACGGGACGCAGCAGGGGGGAAUAUUGCGCAAUGGGGGAAACCCUGACGCAGCAACGCCGCGUGCGGGAUGAAGGCUUUCGGGUUGUAAACCGCUUUCAGCAGGGAUGACUUCGACAGUACCUGCAGAAGAAACCCCGGCUAACUACGUGCCAGCAGCCGCGGUAAUACCUAGGUGGCGAGCGUUAUCCGGAUUCAUUGGGCGUAAAGCGCGCGCAGGCGGACUCAUAAUCGGAGCCUUUAAUCCUGUGUCUUAAACUCAAGUCAGGC
rnacentral:rRNA from 1 species